GAUGAACGCUGGCGGCGUGCCUAAUACAUGCAAGUCGAGCGAAGCGCGGACGGGUUUUUAACACGUGGAUAACCUCCUAUAAUACUGGGAUAACUUCGGGAAACCGGAGCUAAACCGGAUACUUAUAGAUGGAUCCGAGCGGCAUUAGCUAGUUGGUAAGGGAACGGCUUACCAAGCCAACGAUGCAUAGCCGACCUGAGAGGGGGAUGGGGCAAACGGGAACUGAGAAACGGUCCAGAGUAGUACGGGAGGCGGCAGUAGGGAAGCAGCCGCAGUGGGCGAAAGCCUGAAGGAGCACCGCCGCGUGGGUGAUGAAGGUAAUCGGAUCGUAAAACUCUGAUAUUAGGGCAGCGGUAGCUAGUCAGAAAGCCACGGGUGACUACGUGCCAGCAGCCGCGGUAAUUC
rnacentral:rRNA from 1 species